rnacentral:rRNA from 1 species
GGGUGCGAUCAUACCAGCACUAAUACACCGGAUCCCAUCAGAACUCUGCAGUUAAGGGUGAUUGACGAAAGUAAUACGAGGAUGGGUGACCUCUUGGGAAGUCGUCGUGUUGCACCCC